rnacentral:rRNA from 1 species
UACAUAGGGGGCAAGCGUUAUCCGGAAUAACUGGGCGUAAAGAGAGCGUAGGCGGUCUUGCAAGUUGAAGGUGAAAGCCCGGGGCUCAGCUCCGGAAUUGCCUUCAAAACUGUAGGACUAGAGUGUGGGAGAGGAAGAUGGAAUUCCUAGUGUAGCAGUGAAAUGCGUAGAUAUUAGGAGGAACAUCGGCGGCGAAGGCGAUCUUCUGGAACACAACUGACGCUGAGGCUCGAAAGCGUGGGGAGCAAAC